rnacentral:rRNA from 1 species
GCAGCACGGGGGCACCCUGGUGGCGAGUGGCGAACGGGUGAGUAAUACAUCGGAACGUGUCCUGUAGUGGGGGAUAGCCCGGCGAAAGCCGGAUUAAUACCGCAUACGACCUAAGGGAGAAAGCGGGGGAUCUUCGGACCUCGCGCUAUAGGGGCGGCCGAUGGCAGAUUAGCUAGUUGGUGGGGUAAAGGCCUACCAAGGCGACGAUCUGUAGCUGGUCUGAGAGGACGACCAGCCACACUGGGACUGAGACACGGCCCAGACUCCUACGGGAGGCAGCAGUGGGGAAUUUUGGACAAUGGGGGAAACCCUGAUCCAGCAAUGCCGCGUGUGUGAAGAAGGCCUUCGGGUUGUAAAGCACUUUUGUCCGGAAAGAAAACUUCCUGGUUAAUACCUGGGGAGGCUGACGGUACCGGAAGAAUAAGCACCGGCUAACUACGUGCCAGCAGCCGCGGUAAUACGUAGGGUGCGAGCGUUAAUCGGAAUUACUGGGCGUAAAGCGUGCGCAGCGGUUUGUUAAACAGAUGUGAAAUCCCCGGGCUUAACCUGGGAACUGCUUUGUGACUGGCAAGCUAGAGUAUGGCAGAGGGGGGUAGAAUUUCCACGUGUAGCAGUGAAAUGC